rnacentral:rRNA from 1 species
CAGAGCUUCUCCAAGAGCAAAGGACUUCCAGGAGCCAACAUACUAGAUACAGGAAGCAUUAGCUCAGUAGAAUCCCACAAGAGAAGCUUUACCUGCUCCAAGGAUGUCCUCACCGAGCUCAGACUCGGAGUGGAGCAAGAAGGAGAACAAGAUGUUUGAGGAGGCGCUUGCCUACUACGGCAUGGGCGCCCCCAACCUCUGGGAGAAGGUAGCCAGCGCCAUGGGGGGCACCAAGUCCGCCGAGGAGGUGCGCCGCCACUUCCAGUUCCUUGUUGACGACGUCAAGAACAUCGAGCACGGACGCAUCCCCUUCCCCAAGUACAAGACCCGGGGCUUCUGGACCUAAAAGGAUGAAGCAGUGUAAACUCCAGUGGACAGUGAACAAAGUUGUACAAACUAGAUCUCUUAAGAAUAGACUGAUGUUCUAGGGGGGCGCAAGGCAAUUCAGCAUUGGUUAGAAUAGCAGGAAGAAAAGGAGUUGUAUAUUGUGUGUACAAAAUAUUACUAGGUUAUGUCCAAGGUUAAGUCUCUAUGUUGCUGUAGAUAAUCAUCUAGCUUCAUGAACUGCAUGUUGUUCAUUAUCCC